GUAGAGAUGGAAUCCACAGAUCUUGAGUUUUUUCUCUCUUACUUCUACUAAUUCCAUCUCACCUUUACUUAUGAUUAACUGUUAAUUUUAAUUUAUUGGUUUAUUUUGAUGUAACUUUUACUGUUGACAUAAAUUUUGGGGUUUUAUGACGAGGAAGAAGACAUAAAGCAGUAUGCAUUGACCUUUUUUUCUACAUUUGUUGUUUAAGUUUAAGCUUCAAUUAGUUGCUCUUUAAACUCAUUCAUCCGUAGAUAGCAAGGAAGGAGUAAUUGAAGUGGAUACCUUCAUUUGUCUCUGAUUGACUUUUUUGGAGACAAUCAUGUUUCAGAUGAAAUUUUUUAGGUUGCUUGUCACCCUGAUGCCGCAACUAUGGUUACAGUAUAGGAAUAGUUUGUUGUGUAGAGCUAAACUUGAAUCAUGUCUCUUUCAUUCAAAUCAUCAUAACCAAUGUAUUCUUUAAAACAUAUAUAUUUGUAAUGUCAUCCCCAAACACCAAAUUGUGUUUAUUGAAUUCAUAUAUAUGUACAAAUAUGCUCUUCCUGCUUCACACAAAACCAAAGCUUGUGCAACCAAUGUUUCACUCUGAACUCAAUUUAUAUUCUUGGUUAAUAUAUAUAGUGAGUUAUAUAGGGGCUUGAAGUAUUAGGUUGUCGUUUGUCACAUGUUUUAAUUAGGCAAGUAACUAAAAUGCUGCAUAAUUUGACUCAUGAAUGGAUGGAUUUUCCUGUCUUAAUGCAAUAACUGGAUCAUUGGCUUUCUGAUCGUGGGGUUGACGGCAGCAUAUUGUAUUUGUUCUUGGCUGAUGACAUGGACUCUUCAUCACUUGAAUUUAAAACUACAAUGGAUCUUUUGGUCAUAUUAAGUUGCUAAAUUUUCAUUUCAGGUAUUAUACUCAAGAUAUAUGGAAAGCCAAUUCCGCUUAAUAAUGGAGAAUCUUGCAUUAAGGGAUGAAGAAGCCAAAUUAGAAAUUUUCGAAAGUAUUUUACCAUUUUUUAGGUCCGAUGUCCCCAUUAUCCCAUAAACCUUUUGCAAGUCAUUAUUUAUUUUUAUAACCUAGUGCAAUUUCCCGCCGUUGCUGCAUGGUCCAAGGUGCACGGGCGCUUCUGGCAACCCCUUGUGCGUGAAAUCUGCAGUUUCCAACCCUUUUUCAAGCGUUCUUACGUCUUGCAAUGUCUUGCAAUGAAUUUUCUUCACUUUAUAUCGUCUUCAAAUGUCUUCUAAGAACCGUUAAUCUUUAAUCUUCAUAUCUUCGAUCCUUCACUUUGUGUCUGUUUUGCUUAUUUACAUGAUUUUCUCACUAAAAAGACUCAAAACACCCAUGGAUUUGCAUGAUUUAGGAUAAAACUAAACUACAACGACUCGAAUGAAAACAAUACAAAAAGUUUCUCAAAUCAUAACCAACUUGUCUUAUUGCUUCUAAUUUGCCUUCAAAUGCAAAAAAAAGAAAAAAAAAAAAAGAAAAAAAAAAGAAAGAAAGAAACUAAAAACAUAGUUAAAAAUAUUAUAUGUUAUUCCAUCAUCGCCGACCUUAUAUGAAAGGUUGGAAGGAUGCACAAUCAUAUGCUUAAACUAUAUUGACAAACAAAACAUCAAAGUUUUGAUACAAAAUCAUACAUCCAAUGAGGUGUGAGUAGCUUAUAAGAAAUAAGGAGGUGCCAAAAACAACUCAAUCUAAUUUGGGUCAUUUAUAGGCGGAUCAACAUUCUUUGGGUAUGGACACACAAGGUCGGCCCAUUUGAUCAAUACUAUAUAAGGAUAUGUCACCCUACCACUGACAGUGCAACAUUUAUUUACAACAACAUAAAAGAAAAUCUAGGAGUUCAGGCCUGAUUGAUUCAACAAGACAAAUCGAUUCACCAAGACAAAUCAGGUAUACGAUCUUACUGAAAUUUAAUAUUCUUUUUCAAUUCCAACGUGAUUCAAUUAGAUGAUAUCAUAACUUAUUACUUGAUUUAUUCUUUAGAUAUUGCAAUCUUUUUCGUUAUUAAAUGGAUUUUAAAGAAUGAGAUGUUUAGAAAUUAAUAUAUUUAUUUAUCACGCCACAAGACAGGUUUAUGUCAAUUUUCCUCUAUUUUUAUGAUUUGCCAAGAUUUCGCAUUUUAUGGGUACACGCAUGAUGAGUUUUGAAAUGAGUCAUCCUAAAAAGUAAUUAAGGAAUAAUCAAAAAUUCAUUUACAGAUCUGAAAGUUAGCUAGAUAUGAGAAUCAAAUUUGAGAAUUAUACCUUCAAUUUGAAUUCAGAUAGCUUUAAAAUCAAACUCAUAUGAAAACAUAUUUAGAGGGUUUUCUUAGGAUUUUGAGUUAAAUUUACGGUUACAAGUUAAUCAGAUUUGAGAUGGGUACUGAUAAAACAUCAGAUGACCGCAUUAUCAAACUUAACUCAAAUCGGGCUAUUCGAACAAAUAAUGGUUCCAUGAUCAUUAAAUUGAUAUGAAGGUGAGUACUAUAGUAAAUCUAUUAUAGUUUUUGCUUUUGAUCGCAGUAAUUAUGUUUUUUUAACCCUCAUAGGCUGGUUUGGUGGUGUCGGCUUAGACUUUUCAAUGUGCUCCUCUCAAGGUCUCAAGUUUUAUUCUCCCCAAUACCAAUUUUAAUAGGUUAGUUUGGAUUCUUAAAAAAAACAUGUUUUUUUCCUUGCCACAUGUCAGUCUCCCAUUGGAUGUCGACGACUGAUAUGGUUGUGAUGAUGUAGCAACUUUAUGCCAUGCAGCAAGGUUCAAUCAUCAUGAUUCCAUGUGUAGAUUUAGUGUGACUCGGAUAUCACAUGAACCAAACGUGAUGUAAUCAAGGUCGGCCCAAGUCAUAGGCCAGGGGUGCGGCAACCUAUUACCAAUAUUUUUUUAGAGGGUGUGGGUGUAUAUAUCAAUUUGUUUUCUAAAGGGGGUAUGCAGAUGAAGAGUAUUAUGGUGUUAUGGUGACUUGGGGUGACACCCUAGCUGAUAUGUCAAUCGUCAUGAUUAACGCAUGUCUCGUUCAUCAUUUACUAGAAACGAAGCCGGAUGGAAUCUUAAUUUGUGGGAAUAGAUUCUAAAGAAUUUUACGCACACCAUAUAAAAGAUGUUAUCCGAAGGAAUUUUAUAAAUUAUAUACUUCCAUAGCGUACGAACUUGCAUCUUACUAGUAUAAUGAAGAGUAUUUGUUUUCUUGUUACUUUCUUAUCUAUCUGUAUCACAAGAAUGAUUUCCAAAAUUCAAUUACUAGAAAAAUAUACAGAACUUUUUACUUAUGAAUUUUCUAAAAUGCAUAUUAUUAUUUUAGAUAUCAGAGUUCUUUGAAAAGUGGAUGGAGAAGCAAGAGGUUGGAAAGAACAAUGAUGAAAUGCAAAAUUCUGAAGGAGAAAAUCAUCCUAUGGUAUGUAUUAUUGACCAUAGAAUAAACAGUUACAUAAUAAUUUUUGUAAUUGAAUUCAUUUUUUUAUUUGCUAAAAUGUGAUUUCAUGCUUCCGCUGAUGUUACUUAUUGUCCAUGCAAAAUGCAAUGGAAAACAUAUCUCUUCGGAUCGCUGCUCUGGAUAACCUAAAUGCAGAUGAAGAAUUCGCAAAUAUGGUUGAAAGUCAUAAGGUCUAUAAUCCCUUUCCUUUUGUUUUGUUACUGAUCAAAAUUGUGUUUGUUAGGUCAACGUUAGCAUAGUAUUUAUGUCAUUCAAAUAUCAAUUUAUAUACAGGGAGAAAAAAGAACAACUUCAUGUUGAAUUCGUUAAGCUUGUAAGACAACUGGAUAUGAAACAAAAGUUGGAAUGGGAGAUUGGGCAACUAAAAGGAUCACUAAUUGUGUUGAAUAAUUUAAGUUGGAUCAUAUUCAUCCCUUCAAUGGGACAACUCCACAAAAAAUGAGCCUCAUUCUUCUUUUGCAGCUGGCUCAGCUUAUUCCAACGGUUCUUCUCGAUGUCUAGUGCAUCGUGCAUACGAGUCAGCAAAGCAUUGAGCAGUGAAAGCAACCUGCAAGUGACUUUCUCGAAGCGUCGUAGUGGGCUCUUCAAGAAAGCUAGCAAGUUUUGCACCCGUUGUCGUGCAUAUCUUGCUCUAAUUAUAUUCUCACUUGGUGAGAAGGUAUUUUUAUUUGGUCAGCCAAGUGUUGAAACGGUCAUAAAUCUUUAUCACUCAGAUUCCACCCUAAAACAAUGGCAUAACGCAAUUCAUUGAGGGAUAUCGUAACACCAAAGUUCGCAAGCUCAUUUUGGGUGGAGUUGUUCCAUUUAUGGGAUGAAUAUGAUCCAACUUGAAUUAUUCAAGAUUCUUGAAUAAUUCAAGUUGGAUCAUAUUCAUCAUACCAAUGGGAAGAGUCCACCAAAAAUGACCCUCCUUUUUCUUUCACAGCUGGCUUAGCUCAUUCUAACGGUUCUUUUCGAUGUCCACUGCAUCGUUCAUACGAGUCCGUAGAGAAUUGAGCUUGCGCACUUUGGCGCUACAAUAUGCCUCAAUGAAUUGCAUUAUGGCAUUGUUUUAGGGUGGAAACUGAAAGAGGUACCAAUUAUGACUGUUUCGACACUUGGCUGACCAAAUGAAAAUACCUUCUCACUAGGUGAGAAUAUAAUUAGAGUAACAUAUGCACCACAAAGGGUGCAAAGCUCGCUAGCUUUCUUGAAGAGUCCACUAUGGCGCUUCGAGAAAGUCACUUGCAGGUUGCUUUCAUUGCUCAUCUUUUUCAUCAUAAUCUUUUGGCGACCUCGAGUUUUCUUUCCGCUCGAUAUGGCUGAAGCACAAAAAGAGAGAGAAAAAUAUGGGUGGGUGUGUUUGUUCUAUAGACUAAGAAAUGACACAUUGUAAUUUGGUGUGAAGGGGUCAUUUUAUAGACAAAUUUUGUGAGUAUAUUUUUGAAAAUAUACCUUUUCAUUACAUUGAAAUAUUUACUGGAUUGAGAGAUUCUCAUCAAAUCUCUUUUAAUAUGGCUAAUAUGGCAGAUGAUUCAAUGUCAAAAAAUGUCAUUCUAUUAUAAAUUUAUAAUUGUAUUUGGAUAAUUCUAAGAAUUUGCAAUAAUCAUUUUUAUAUUUAUUUAUUUAUAUAAAAAUUAAUGAGUGUGGUGCACCAUAUAAAGAACGGUGAUAGUAUCCUUUACAAACAAUGUAGUAGGUUAUCCCUAAAAAAAAUAGUGUAGUGGGUUUAUUACUCACUUUUGUAGGUCUCAAUUUACCACUCUCAAGACUAGGAUUAAUAGAUGUUUUAUUUAGUCUUCAUAUGAAACAAAAUUGAUCGACCAAUUGAUUUACAAUGUUGUUGAUGAACUUUUUAUUUGUAAUUUAGGAUUGAAUUGGAAAACAAUAAGAAAAACAUGUAUGUAAGUAAUCAUGCUUGAUACAUUAAACACUUUUUGGACCUUCCAUCUUUUUGACAAAGUUUAAUAAAAAAUGCAGGAUCAAUCCAUUACAAAAAUAAAAUAAAAUGAAGGACUAACUUGUUCAAAUCCACUAUGAGAUGGUUGUAAUAUGACUACUAGUGUCACUUUAAUUAAUAAUAAUUUCAUCAUUUCUCUUUAUUAAAAAUUAGUUUUAACCUUAGUAAUCAAUUUUAUUACCAUGAAUAAAUUAAAAUUAUGACAGAACUAAAAAUAUAUUAAUUUAAUUAAUUAUAAUAUAUUAUGAUUGAAAGAAAAAAAGUAUAGUUUUUUAAUUAAAUUGGUUUUAUAAAAAAUAUAUUAAUUUAAUUAAUUAUAUAUCAUUUUAGCUUGUUAAAAAAAACGUGCAUCAUAGAGAAACAAGAAUAUAGUUUUUCAAUCAACAUGUACUCAACAAGAACAAAAAAGCAAAGAAAUAUGAUUAAACAAGAACAAUAAGAAAUCGAUUCAUAGGAAUGAACUACAUGAAAGUGUUUGAGUGAUGAAAUAAUGAUACCCAUGAACGAUUUUUCAAUCCUAUCAUUUGAAACCCACGAAAAUAUAUGGAUUAAAAUAACAAAGGGGUUUAACGAGAGCGUCAUUCCACCCAAUUUGCAUAUCAACAAAAUCACUUAUCAUUUUAAUCCUUACUCGGUGAGAAGGCAUUUUUAUUUGGUCACCCAAAUGUUAAAAUGGUCAUAAAUCGUUGUCUCUCAGGUCCAACCCCAAAACAAUGGCAUAAUGCAAUUCAUUGAGGCAUACUGUAGCGCCAAAGUGCACAAGCUCAAUGCUCUGCUGACUCAUGAACGAUGCAUUGGACAUCGAGAAGAACCAUUGGAAUGAGCUGAGCCAGCUGCGAAAGAAGAAUGAUGCUCAUUUUUGCGGACCAUUGGACAGAAAAUAAAAUACUAUUCAAAAUAAGCUAGUAGACUGCUGAUUUCUUGUUACAGUGCGUAUUAAACUAAUUACUUGUUAUAAUGCGUAUUAAAGCCUGUUUGUUAUAGCUUUUUUAAUUAAAAAAAUCAUUUUUUUAAAAAUGAUUACUUUUAAGAGUUUUGCAUUCGUUUAUUUCAACUUUUUUAAAAAAUCAGAAUCUAAAAAAAAUCUAAAAGUAACUUCAAAUGAGAAGUUGUUAAGAGUAGCUUCUCAAAAAAUAAAUUAUUUUAGAGGAGAGAGAAAAUAUAGAUCAAAAUAUUGAACUAAUUUUAUAACAGAAAAUCUCUUUUAUAUAGUUGUAUCAAAACAAACUAAAUCAUUUUCUAAAAAAAUUGACUUUUAUUAUGGUAAACAAACUCAAAAUAGAUUCUGAUUAUGGUAAACAAACGCAAAAUAGAUUCUGAUUUUUCAUUUGUCAAAAUCACUUUUAUUUUAAUUCGUAACAAAUCGACCCUUGAUCUUUUUUUAGGAUUGUGUAGUUAAAUUCUUAAAAUUUAUUCCCUCUAUCUCAAAUUAGGUUAGGAUAGGAGGAUGUAAGAAACAGACCUGUUUGGAUUAGUUUUUUUUUUUAAUACGAAAGAAGAAUAUAUUAAAUAAAAAUAAAUUAAUACAGAAAUUGGGGGACAUUAGACCUGACCCAGGUUUAAAUGAGAAUAAAUUAUGAUAAUCAAUGGAGCAACCCUAAUCAAUCAUAACAAACAAACAUUCCUCACGGGCGUAACCUAAUGAAACCGCUUACGGGCGCGGAACCAAGCUACAAAAAAAGAUGAAAAGUGCAUGAAUGUAUGGAUAAAAGGGUUAUAAAUUGGCGAAUGGAUCGACCGCCAACACGGUUUCAAGAUCCAAGUACCAGCAACCCCCUCAACAAAGCAACAUGCAUAGUAGCUCUUUCGAGCAUAACAUUCCAUGUCAUAGGGACUAAGACAGAAAAAGAAGACAGUACCGGAGUGGAGGCUGAAUUAGAGACUCGAGACCUGUAAAUCUCCAUAGACCUGGAACAUAAGAGAAUCAAUCACAUAACCACCAGCACACCAGUUUCAAGUAGCGCUUGAACCCAGAUCGUGGGAUGAGUCCAACGCAUUGUAACCGAACAGUCCUUUCGGGUUAAUAAACCCAGACCCUUUUGAGUUUACAAAACCGAGGCCACAUUUGUGACCACCCAAUCUCAUAUCAGAAACACAAACAUACAAAACAAACAGAAUCAUACAAAAGAAACGAACAUCGGCGGAAGAACAUAACCAAAUUCCAUAUCCUGUAACUAGAGAGUAGAAACUCUGCAUCCAGCAACUGGGGAACAAAAACAACUCCUCCACCUUGCCAAAAAGACGCCCCACAGUCCGACGUGGAGGAGGCGCACCCAAAACCAUAAAAUACUCAUGAACCGAGCUCAAUCCAGUGAAGAUAUACAUAUCAAGGCGCAACAACCACCAACCAAACUGAAACCUCUCAAACGGUUGCAACGACGACUAAAACAGAUCAAGCUUGCGUCCAAACUAGAUCUGACGACGACCGAAUAGUGAACACGAACGAAAGUUGAGGGGUGUCGGUGGUGAGGGGAACCUACAAUCUCGUAGCAUCACCAAUGAAAGAGAUUACAUUUGACCUUGUUAUUUGGAUGUGAAAGGGAAGAAAGGAGGAGGUCGGUGGUGAUGUUGUAAGAAGGAAAAAAGUCGUUCAAGGGUAGUGAGAGACGAGAGCUUCUCUCUAAACACGCUUCAAACUACGUAUUCCUUAUUUGGAUUAACUUAUUUUAGAGCUUAUACAAAACAGUUUAUGCAAAUAAAUAAAUUUUUAUGUAUUAUUUAUAAGUUAUUUACAUACACUCAAAAUCUGAUUAUGUAAAGGGUUAAUACCUCUUUUCAUCCCUGUAAUAUUAGCGAAUUUCGGUUUUAGUCCCUGUAAAAAAAAAUUUAGAUUUUGUCCCUGUAAUUUCAUAUUCUUCCACUUUUGGUCCCUUAUUCCACCACGUCAGCAGAAUCUGCAUACAUGGCACGUAAAAUGAGGGACCAAAAGUGAAGGAAUUUGAAAUUACAUGGACCAAAAGUGGGAGGAAUCUGAAAUUACAGGGAUGUAAUUUAUGUAGAUUUUGCUGACGUGAUGAAAGGAGGGACCAAAAGUGGAACAAUAUGAAAUUACAGGGACAAAAUCUAAAUUUUUUUUUUACAGGGACUAAAACUGGAAUUCGCUAAUAUUACAGGGACGAAAAGAGGUAUUUACCCUUAUGUAAAUUAUUGUCACUUUGUCCGAGUUAAGGGAAAAAAAGUAAAGACGAUAUCUAAGUUUAGGAGGCGGCGAAGCUAGCAAUAUUUUUAUGAGGUGUCGACAUAUAUAUAUAUUUUUUUUAACUAGUAAAUUUAACCAAUAAGAAAAAAUAAAUUCUCAAUAACUAUUACGUACAUAAAAUGCACUUAAAGCUUGUACCAAAAAAAAAAUGCACUUAAAGCUAUAAUUUACUAAUUACUUUGUUUAGCUGUAAAGAAAAAAAUUCAAAGUGUUAAUAAUGGGUUUGUUAUAAUAAAGGGUUAAUAAAUUAUGUUUGGGUCAAUAGUGAUAGAAUUUCUUUUGUUGGAGAAAGUUAUAGAAUAUUGUUGUUGUCGUCAUAUUUUCAUUAUCAAUCAAAGAAUAUGUAUAUUUUUUAUGUUCACCCUUCGGUUUUUAGAAGAUCAGAUCAAGUAAUUCGAAGUUCAAUUGAAAAGUAAGUAAAAUCAAAAAAGAAAAAAAAAAAAAUCAAUCCAUCUAAAAUCAAACUUGGGGUAGCCAGAUAUAUAUUAUUAGGGGUAGCUUAAUAUAAAAAUAUACCAACUCAUUCAACAAUUUUUUUUCUCUUUGGGGUAGCUAUGGCUACCCCUCUCACAUGAAAUGAAAGCAAUCACCCCUGGGAGAGAGUAUACAAUUUUCAUAAGGGCACUCACCAAUUGAGUGACUCAUCAACCUUGUCUCUGAAUUUGCAUAAACCGGCCAAAUUCGUCCCCCAAUUUAACGAAAUAUCAAAAUAGUUUCUGAAUUUGUAAAAUGUCAAUCAAUUUAGUCCCUCCGUCCAAUUGGAGUGUUAACGGUGCUGACGUGACCGUCAAUCUCUCACAUGUCAGAUGCCACACAAGCAAAGACUAAUUUGGCUGAUAGUGACCAAAAUUUCCAAGGACGAAAUUGAUUGAUUUGCAGAAAAUGUUCUUUCCUCCCCAACGGCUCUAUCUUUCUUCCUCCAAUAUAUAAAAUUGGAACCCUAAUUUUACAAUCUUUAAUCUACACUCCAAAAUUCCCAAAAUUUCUUUCAAUAAUUAGUGGUAACGUACUUCCCCAAUUCAAAAAACCCCAAACCCUAUUUUUUUUUAUUGAAUCCGAAAAUCAGAUUCCCUAAAAUUUCUUCAAGCAAAACUGUUCAAAUUGAAUCUGAAAUGAUGGUGGGUGGGUAUAUUUAGGUGUGUGUAGAGUUGUAAUGAAAAGAGGUUGAAGAUGAAUGAAAUGUAGCCAUUCUGCAAUAAUUUUACCAUCAUAUUAGUCCCUGAAGUAUUUGUCUACUAUCAAAUUGAUCCUUACAUUAUAUUAAAAAACCAUCAAAUAAGUUAUUGAAUUAUAUAAACAUAAAUCAAUUUGGUCUUUGAAGUAGCCUAUGCAAUGUCCCACAAACAUAACUCAUCAACAUCCAUUUUUUCCAAAACACAGAAUUCACCACGAACAUAUUACAACCUCUGAUACUCAUCUCGCUCUAAACCACCACGGUGAUGCCGGAUUAGCGAGAUAUUGUCUUCCAUCCUACGGAUUUUGGCAACAUUAGUCUUAACCACAAACAAAACAACAUCAAAAUACAAACCCUAAAAUGCAAACCUUUUUCAGAAACUGUUUUAAUCAAUUAGUAAUUUCCUUCAUUACUGCCGACCAGAAAAAAAAAAAUUAAAUUUUUAAGUCUUAAACUAAAAACCAUAAAAUGAAUAAUCUAAACAACCCUGGAACGAAUUGGGGAAUGAAUAAUCUAAACCAUAAAAUGAAUAAUUUAAACUGACCAUUUUGAUAUUUCCUUAAAAUGGGAAAUCAAUUUGACAGAUCGGUGCAAAUUAGGACGAAGUUGAUGAUUCACUCCUAACAAAUCUGACUAGCCGGUCUUUCGAUCUAAAACCCUGGUUUGUCGAUGUUGAUAUCUAUCUCCCUCGCUACCGCACUUCUGUCACGUGCGUUCUUCUUCAAGUUCUGCCGUUGUGUCGUCGCCACUGGUGAGUUUCCUUCUUCCUCCUUUUUCUCUUCAGAUUCUUAUUAUUUAUGUAUUACUAAAACUGAUAUCAUGUGGUGACUGGUGAAUAAUCAGAUUCAUUGAUUUGUGCAUCAACAUCUAAACAUAAAUAAAUCUCAAACAUUUUUGGAUCAAAGAUGGGAGAGUUUUUAUUUAAAUUUAAAAAAUAAUGAAAUGUUUAGAAAAAUUGAAACCCUAGAAUUAGGUGGUGGUUCUCUAUUUCUUUGAUCCUUGCAUUCAGCUGUUUUGCCGAAGGUAUUAAGAAAAGGGCGAUGAUUACAACGAGAGAGGCCUUUAGUGGGGAAAUAAUACCCAAUUCCUUCGGAACAUUCUGAUUUUUCAUUCUUAUGAUCAUUUUAGCUUAUUUGUUUUCGAUAAAUUGUUUUGUUGUUCCGAGUUGUAGUUUUUACAAUGAUCUUGCUUUGAAUGAGAACCAUUUGUAUUGUUUUCUUGUUGAAGAUUCCAUGUAAUCAUCUCUCUCCCAACAUAACCUAGCUGGGUUUGACUUAAGUUUCUGUGGUUUUCUUGUCCGAUUAAUUAACAUAAUCGGAUAUGAAAACCACAUAAUUGCGUUAGACUUAGUUUGGUUAUGUUGUUGAAGAUAGAAUCAAACACUGAACAUGUUUUUCAUAAAUAUGGUGGGUUUGGUUGUGAUUGGGAAGCAGCCAAACAACUUUAGAGAUGAAAUUCACAUAUACUUAGUUAUUUUCCCCACCAUUCUACUAAUUCCAUCUCUCAUGUUCUUCUUUCUAGCUAUUAAUUAAAUUUAACUGUUCUUUUUCUUAUAUAAAGUCUGGGUCAGUUUGAUUGUUCAUUGCCUUCAACUGUUCUGCUGAAGGUAAAAGGGGCGAUGAUUACAAAGAAAGAAGAUGUCUUACGUGGAAAAUAUUACCUAAUUCCAUCCAUCGCAAAUGCUGGGUGCCUAAAGAGCAAUUUUCAAAAUCAAAACCAAAAACAAUAAACAACAAAUUAUAGGUCAGGAGUCGAAGGUGCCGCUAUACCCUUUUCACCCAAGGGCUUUUGGCUUUGGCAUCUCGUAUUCUGUCUUCUUCUUUUUUCUCCUCUUCCUCUCUCUUACUGUCCCUUCAAAUUGAAUUGGAUUUUUUCCUACAGUGAUAGAUCUAUCAAAAUUUACACUUCAUAUGAGCCCCUCAACCUUCUCAUUUUCCAUUCUUAUGAUCAUUUUAGUUUCUUUGUUUUAAAAAUUAGUUUUGUUCAGGGUUGUAGUUUUUUGUUUUUUUGCACUAAAGUUGUUUUGAAUGGGAAGCAUUUGUUGUUUACUUGUUGAUGAUUUUGUUUCGAAUUAUCCAAAAUAGGCUUGUUUCAAUUUCCCCUAACCUAACCAAACUGGAUCGACACCCGAGUUUUUGGUCUCUAUGCCCGAUUAAUUGAUUCAGUAAAUCGGGCAUGGAAACCGCUAACUUGGCGUAAAAUCUUAUUUGGUUAGGUUGUUGGAGAUUGAAUCAAUUGACCAACUACUGAUCAUGUUUUAUUACAAAUAUGGCGGGUUCUGUUGUAAUUGGGCAAGUAGAGAUGGAAUCCAGGGAUGCUGCGUUUUUUUGUCUCACCAUUCUACUAAUUCCAUCUCACAGUUUCUUAUUUGUUAAUAUCUGCUAUUCCAAUUUAAUUUUUUUAUGUAUUUUUUUUUAUUUUGACAGAAAGUUCGGGGUUUUGUAAUAUGGAAGAAGACUCUUGUUCUCUUUUAGUAAUUUGAUACAAGUUAUGGGCUUUUACACUUGGAUAUUAAUCAAUACUGAGGUAUGUGGGGAUGGUAUAAAUUGCAUGCUUUUAAGGCAUAGAAUUGCAUGUUAAGUAUUGAUCCUGAGAAUUUGCUAUGACUUGAUGGUAUUGAUGAGCCAUUACAGUGUUAUCUUGGAGUAAUAAUUAGCCAGAGCAUAUGUGCAACGGUGAAAGUGUCCGCUUCAGAAAUGUUUAUACCUAAUUUCUUGAAAGUUGAAUGCAAGCGAAAUCUUAUCUUAGAGUAAUAUUUACCUUUUUGUUUACAUUUGUUGAAUCACUUUAAAUUGGGAAGUGAACAUCGAAUCGAAACAUUUGUGGAGUCUUAGUUAAGACUGUUCAGUUGCCCCCUUUAGUUCAAUAUUUUUGAAGUUAUAUAAGUAAGUUAUCACAGAUAUACUUGCUAUUAAAGAUGUAGCAAGUUCAAUGAUUUCAAGUCUUAGAGUAAAAGUGUACAAACCAAAUAAAUUUCAUAUGAAUACAGACUAAAUAAGUCAUAGAGUACAGUGUACAAACCAAAUAAAUCUCAUGUUUCAGUAUUAUAAUUUAUUAUAGUUUAAUCCUCAAAUAGUUGGUCUUAGAGACGAGUCUCUAGAAUGGUUGAAGUAAAAAUAGGUUUUGGAUGAUGUGAGAUACAAAUCUGAAUUAUCCCUUGAGAGUAAUAUAAGGAGUCACUGGAGUGUAUACCUUUAUUUGUCUCCGAUCUGUUUGUGGAACCAAUUAUGUUUUUAGAUACUGUUUUUGCUCGUCACCCGGAUGCAUCGACUAUGGUUACAGUAUCGGAAUAGUUCCUUGUGCAGAAUUUAACUUGAAUCAUGUCUCUUUUAUUCAAUCAUCACCAAUGUUUUCUUUUUAACAUGUAUAAUGUAUUUAUAGUUUAUACUGUCAUCUGCAAAUUGUAUGUGGGUACUUCAUUAAUUGUUCAUUGCUUUCAGCUGUUUUGCUGAAAGUAGAAAAAAGGGGCGAUGAUUACAAUGAGAGAGGUCUUUAGUGGGAAAUACCCUAUUUGUUCGGAAAAUCAUAACCCAACUUCUAUCAGAGUUAGGAUCCUCUCCAUUUAUCAAUAUCAACAAAAAAAUUAAAAGAAAAUGAAAAUGAAGAAGAUUAGAACUUGAACGUGCCGCCAUACCCUUUUCACCAAAAGGGUCUGGCUUUGGCAUCUCAUAUUCUAUCUUCGUCUUCUUUCUCCUCUUCCUCUUUCUCUUACUGUCCCUUCAUAUUGAAUUGGGUUUUUUCCACAGUGACAGAGCUUUCUUAAUUUACACUUGAUAUGAGCCCCUCAACUUUCUGAUUUUCCAUCAUUAUUAUUAUUAUUAUUAACUUAUUUGUUUUUAAAAAUUAGUUUUGUUCAGAGUUGUAGUGUUUUUUCUUGCGCUGAUUUUAUUUUGGAUGAGGAAACACUUCAUGUUCUCGUCAAAGAUUCAGUGCGGACAGAAAAAGCUUGAUUUUAGCUACUGCUUGUUUCUGACGAACAUAUUUUUCAGAAUAUGGUGGAUUUGUUGUAAUUCGGCAGCGGCUCGACAACCGUGGAGAUGGAAUCCACAGAUGUUGAGUUUUUUCUUGUCUCACACUUCUACUAAUUCCAUCUCACAUUUUUUUCUUAUUUGUUAUCUGCUAAUUAAAUUAAUUGUUCAUUUGGAUGUAAUAUUUUUGAUAUUGAAAUAACUUUUUGGGGAUUAAUAAAAAGGAAGAAGACAAAGUAUUAUGUAAUCAAUUUGCUGCUUUUGCAUUUGCACUCUUUUUUUUUUUCCUUUCUUUUAAUUUGAUAAAAAUUAAUAGUUUUGAAUGGGAAGCAUUUGUUGUUUACCUGUUAUUGACGGUGUAGCAACUUCAAUGGUUUCAAUGCAGCAGAUAUGAAAACUUAAUAUUAAUCAAUGUUCCUGAGACUGGAAAGGCAAUCGUAUAGAAAUGCAUGAUAAGCAAUGUUCCUAAGAAUUUGGUGAAACAUUGAUGAGUCUUUACCGUGUGAACUUUGUGUUGUGGCAUAUUGGAUUGAGGAAUUUUUCAAGGGCUGUCUGUGUACCAUUUUUUAAGUUAAAAUCAUGUGCUAGUUAUAGAAAAACAUAUCACUUGUUUGUGACUGUAUAUACAAGCAAGUGCUGUACUUUGCCUCUCUUUGUUCUUGCAUGAAAUGAUGGAUAUACUGCGUCUUUGCAAUUGGGUGAUCGUUGAUUAUGUUUUUGUUUUUAAGGUGCUGCUUCAGAUAUCAUGCAAUGCACCUCUGGUAGUCUGGUUAAGUUUUUGUUCAAUAAGUUAUUAUAGGAAAAGGAUAUAAACAUUUACAAGUUAACAAGUUAAACGUUGAACUUUCUGAGUUAAGUUUCAGCUAAUUGCCAAUGCUCUAUUCUGUAUAAAGCGUGGGUUAGAUUCAUUGUUCAUUGCUUUCAGCUGAUUUGAUGAAGGUAUAAAGAAAAGGGAGAUUAUUAUAACGAGAGAGGCCUUUAGUGGGAAAUAAUAAUCAAUUCAAUCGGAAAAUCAGAACCCUAACUUCUAUCAGAGUUAGGAUUUGCUCCAUUUACCAAUAUCAACGAAAAGUGAAAAGAAAGUGAAAGCAAAGGAGGUCAGAACUGGAAGGUGCCGUCACACCCUUGUCACCAAAGGGUUUUGACUUUGGCAUUUUUUUUUAUUUUUAUUUUUUUGUUUUUUGUCUCACACUUCUACUGAUUCCAUAUCACAUUUUCUUAUGUUUAAGUGUUCAUUUUCAUGCAAGUUAACAAUUUUGAUUUGAAUUUCGGGGUUUUAUAAUAAGGAAGAAGACAGUAUUAUGGAAUCAAUUUGCUGCUUUUGCAUUUGCACUAUUUCUUGCUCUCUUUUAAUUUAAUAAUAAUUAAUAGCUUUCACAUUUUUCUAUUAAUCAAAAUACUGAAUAAAGUUAUGUGGGGAUGGUAUAGAGUUGCAUCCUAAUAUUAAGUUGUUUAGCAUAUGUGCAAUGUGUUAGCUAAAGACAUGUUUAUACCAUCUCUUACAUUAAUUUUUAUAAAUGUUUGUCCAUUAAGUUCAAAUUGUGAACCAAACAAUGAAUUGAAACGUUUGUAGAUGUUGAUGCCUAAUUAAGACUGUUCAAUCGCCCCCUUAUUAUUGAAGAUGUGGAACUUCGUUUUGAUGCAGCAGAUAUAUGAAUACAUUAUUAAAGAAAUCUUUAGACAAAAGACCUAAUAAUUCACGGUUUUCAGUAUUGUGAGGAGGUGAGCUGGAAGCAUAAUGCAGGGGUUGUUCUGUUUGCAAUAAGUAACUGCUUGGUUAGAAAACAUUAGAUAAUGAUGCUGUAAUUUUUAUACUAAUCAUGUUAUAGGAGGUUGAGAGAUGUAGAUUGCUGUAAUAUAUCCUCUUAGCAAGUUGAUUGAUCCGGAGUUUGUGAUUGUACUAUUUGUAGAUUUCUUUUUAUAUAAGUAGUGAUUGAUAAAAAAAAAAAUUUGUUCAUUUUUUGUUAGUCUCUGAUUGGGGUUUUUUAAGCCAAUGGUGCUUUAAGAUAAUUUUUUUUACGUUGCUAGUCACCCUUGUGCAGAAACUAUGGUUACAUGAACAGUUUGUUGUUUGAUUGAGAAUUGGAGAAUUUCAUGUAAAUGUGUCACUGGCUUGCUUUUUUUUGUGUGGAACUUACAGUUGCUGUAAUUAAUCUUCAUUGUACGAACAAUGCCAGUAGGGCUAUUAGGAAAUGGUUUUGCAAUCUUUUGCUAAAAAAGUAAAAUGAUAAAAGGAGGAUGAAGGUGGAGCGAGAGCUGCAAACUUGUGUUGAUUGUGGGGAAUACUACAUAAAAGACCCAUCAUGACAUCAAUUCUAAUUUGUCACAAUUCAUGGCAAAAAAAGGUAUGUUUUUGUUUAAUUUAACAUAUUGUUCUCUUGAUUCAUUUCAUUACUUAUCUUCAUUACCGCUUUUAAAAAGACUUGUUGGACCCUUUUCUCUUAGUAUCAGAACUAUUUGGCCUUUUGAACGUGUAAUUUAAGGGCAUUUGAUCCUUUCACUCUAGGAUCUAGAUUGAAUUGUAGUAGAGGAAAACCAUUGAUGAUUAUAAAUGCUGUAUAGAAUUGUUAGGAACAAGAAUGACUACAAAUUGAUGAACAGGGAUCAACCUGUUAAUAUUUUGUAUUUUAUGUUUGAUAAGGUAAAAUAAAUAAAUUUUCAGGGAAAAAUUAAACCCCUAAUAAAAAUGCUUGAUGCUAUGAGUUGUAUCCUUUGUUCGCCACUUUUAGUGUUUCAGCAUUUUGCUGAGCCGAAACUGCAGGGCAGUGAUUAGAAUGAGAGAAGCCUUGAGUGGGAAUACCCAAUUCCAUAGAUAAAUUCGUAUAUAGAAACACUUUUAUUCUCUUCACCCCCCCAAAAAUCAAACAAAACAAAAUCAAAGAAGCUUUGAGCUCAAUGGUGCCGCCGAGCCUUUUUCACCAAUGGGGUUUGACUUUGGUAUCUCAGGUUCUAUCUUCCUCUUCCUUCUCCUCCUUCUCUUUUUUAUUCUUUUAUCGUCCCUUAAAUUGAAUUGGGUUUUCCCCACAGUGACAGAUCAUUCCCUCAACCUUCUGAUUUUAUAUUGUUUUGAUUAUUAACUUAUUUGUUUUAAAAAUUUGUUUUGUGAAGAGUUGUAGUUAUGUUUAUUGCCUGAUUUUGUUUUGGACAAGGAACACUUGUGUGUUGUUUUCUUGUUAAAGAUUCAGUGCGCACAGGAAAAGCUUGAUUAUAGCUACUACUGCUUGUUUUCUGCUUUUCAGAAAAAAUAGUGGGUUUGUUGUAAUUGGGAAGCGGCCAGACAACCGUAGAGAUGGAAUCCACAGAUCUUGAGUUUUUUUCUCACACUUCUACUAAUUCCAUCUCACAUUUACUUAUGAUUAACUGUUAAUCUUAAUUUAUUGGUUUAUUUUGAUGUAACUUUUAUUGUUGGCAUAAAUUUUGGGGUUUUAUGACGUGGAAGAAGACAUAUAGUAGUAUGCAUAUGAAUACACUCUGUUUUGAAUCAAUUUGCUUCAUUUAUACUUUUUGUUGUCUUUUAAUUUUAUAAAAAUUAAGUGCUUUUAUAUUUAUCGUAAUCAAUACUAAAGUAAGACAUUGCAUGGUUUUAAUUGCAUGUGAGUCAUUGAAGUGGAUACCUUCAUUUGUCUCUGAUUGGCUUUUUUUGGAGACAAUUAUGUUUCAGAUGAUUUUUUGUAGGCUGCUCAUCACCCGGAUGUGGCAACUACGGUUACAGUACAGAAUUAAACUUGAAUAAUGUCUCUUGCAUUCAAUCAUCAUAACCAAUGUAUUCUUUAUAACACAUUUAUAAUGUCAUCCCCAAACAAGAAAGAGUGUAUACUGAAUUCAUCAAUCACGUGAGAUCGAAUUUAUGUACAAUACGCUCUCACUGCUUCACACAACCAAAGCUUGUGCAACCAAUGUUUCACUCUGAACUCAAUGUUUCCUCAGUAGAUGGUCUUUAUAAUGAAGGAUCUUGCAUUCAGGGAUGAAGAAUCUUGCAUUCAGGGAUGAAGAAUCUAUUGGCAGACUCUACUGAUAGCAACAGCUUUGUUAUAUUGAGUGUUUUUUUUUAUAGGUGUAAGGGUAUUUAAAGUACUGAUUGAUGCAAUUAUGCGAUCAAUAUAAAGGUAUAGUGAUGACUUUGGACUGCUAUUUGGCUCGUGUAUAUUGUUUUAUCUUCGCUUUAAGUGAUCAAACAUCUUUUGACUAAAUAAGUAAAUAAUAAAUGCAUAUGCUUUAUUUAUCAAAUAAGUUAUCUUCUUGUU
rnacentral:lncRNA from 1 species